GACGAACGCUGGCGGCGUGCCUAAUACAUGCAAGUAGAACGCUGAAGAGAGGAGCUUGCUCUUCUUGGAUGAGUUGCGAACGGGUGAGUAACGCGUAGGUAACCUGCCUUGUAGCGGGGGAUAACUAUUGGAAACGAUAGCUAAUACCGCAUAACAAUGGAUGACACAUGUCAUUUAUUUGAAAGGGGCAAUUGCUCCACUACAAGAUGGACCUGCGUUGUAUUAGCUAGUAGGUGAGGUAAUGGCUCACCUAGGCGACGAUACAUAGCCGACCUGAGAGGGUGAUCGGCCACACUGGGACUGAGACACGGCCCAGACUCCUACGGGAGGCAGCAGUAGGGAAUCUUCGGCAAUAGGGGCAACCCUGACCGAGCAACGCCGCGUGAGUGAAGAAGGUUUUCGGAUCGUAAAGCUCUGUUGUAAGCCAAGAACGGGUGUGAGAGUGGAAAGUUCACACUGUGACGGUAGCUUACCAGAAAGGGACGGCUAACUACGUG
rnacentral:rRNA from 1 species